GGACCCGCACAAGUAGUGGAGCAUGUGGUUUAAUUCGAAGAUACGCGCAGAACCUUACCAACACUUGACAUGUUCGUCGCGACUCUAAGAGAUUAGAGUUUUCGGUUCGGCCGGACGAAACACAGGUGCUGCAUGGCUGUCGUCAGCUCGUGUCGUGAGAUGUUGGGUUAAGUCCCGCAACGAGCGCAACCCUCACUUUUAGUUGCCAUCAUUUAGUUGGGCACUCUGAAAGAACUGCCAGUGAUAAGCUGGAGGAAGGUGGGGAUGACGUCAAGUCCUCAUGGCCCUUACGUGUUGGGCUACACACGUGCUACAAUGGCAUUUACAAUAGGAAGCGAGAUGGCGACAUCAAGCAAAUCCUAAAAAGAUGCCUCAGUUCGGAUUGUACUCUGCAACUCGAGUACAUGAAGCUGGAAUUACUAGUAAUCG
rnacentral:rRNA from 1 species